rnacentral:rRNA from 1 species
CCCUUAGUUGCUAAUAUGCGAAAGCAUAUGCACUCUAAGGGGACCGCCAGCGGAAAGCUGGAGGAAGGUGGGAUGACGUCAAAUCCUCAUGGCCUUUAUGUCCAGGGCUACACACAUGCGACAAUGGUCGAGACAACGCGUUGCAAACCAGUAAUGGUAAGCUAAUCGCAUAAAAUCGACCUCAGUACGGAUUGAGGGUUGCAAUUCACCCUCAUGAAGCUGGAGUUGCUAGUAACCGCAGGUCAGCUAUACUGCGAUGAAUACGUUCCCGGGGCUU